rnacentral:rRNA from 1 species
UACCCCCAAAAAAAGGAAUAUGUCAAACAUCAUCCAAAAAGAACUAUUUAAAUUGGCUGUGGUAUUUUGACUAUACAAAGGUAUUGUAAUAAGAUUUUAAUUGAAUGCUAAAAGAAUGGAAAUUUAGAAAAAAACUUUUUUGAAAUUAAAAAUUGAAUUUUUUUUAAUUUGUGCAGAAACAAUUAUUUAUAUUAAAGACAAGAAGACCCUAUGAAUUUAAAGAUUAAUUUAAUUAAUAUAAUUAACUGAAUUAAUCUUGAUUGGGGCGAUCAAAAAAUAUUAAUAACUUUUUUAAAUUAAAAUGAUCUAUUAUUAAUAAAAUAAUGAAAUAAAUACUCUAGGGAUAACAGCGUAAUAAUUUUUGAUAGAUCUUAUAGACAAAAUAGUUUGCGACCUCGAUGUUGGAUUAGGAUUCUUUUUUAAUGAAGAUGUUAAAAAAAGAAGUUUGUUCAACUUUUAAAAUCCUACAUGAUCUGAGUUCAGACCGGA